rnacentral:rRNA from 1 species
AGAUUAAGUUAUUAAGGGCGCACGGUGGAUGCCUUGGCACUAGAAGCCGAUGAAGGACGUUACUAACGACGAUAUGCUUUGGGGAGCUGUAAGUAAGCUUUGAUCCAGAGAUUUCCGAAUGGGGAAACCCAGCAUGAGUUAUGUCAUGUUAUCGAUAUGUGAAUACAUAGCAUAUCAGAAGGCACACCCGGAGAACUGAAACAUCUUAGUACCCGGAGGAAGAGAAAGAAAAUUCGAUUCCCUUAGUAGCGGCGAGCGAAACGGGAAGA